UCUUGCUCGCUCAGCUCAGCCACUCGCUCGCUGGCUCCCGAACCCCUAGCUCACCGCCACCGGCGCCUCUCCGUCGCACGCGUCGCCGGCGCCUCUACCCCGCACGCAGCGCCUCCGCCUCUCCCUCUCGCGUCGUCGCCGCCUUUCCAUGGUGGCGGGGAUCUCCGGCGGCUGGAUCUGAAGCGCGGCUGCUCCACCUUCCUCAGGGUGGCGGGGAUCUCCGGCUCGCUGCGCAGGGGAAGGGCCCGACCGCCGGCGGCCGCUGCGGGCAGAAUGGGAACUCCGUCGGCGACGUCGUCGGCGUCGGCGUCCCAGGGACAGGGCACGGCGGCACGCACUGCCGUUGCCGCCGUCCGCCAGCGCGCCGCUGGCCGACAGGAGCAGCCACAGCCACGAGGCCACGACGAGCAGGACUGCCGGCGACGGGUUGGUGCAGUCCCGCGAGGACCGCGCCGUGUGGGAUGCCGAGACGACGUUGCCAGAGAAGGAGUCUCCGACUACCUCACGCCCACCGCUGGCCUGCACAUUAGGUCGACGAGCCCGUACGCCAGUGUGAGCAGCCUGGGUUGCCGGGUGCUCGCUGUCCGGCAGCACACCACGGCGCGACACGGGGUGGUGGAGGCCGAGCUCACCCAGGUCGAGACCAUAUGGUGGCAGUAGGAGGAGACUGAGCACCGUGUGGUGUGGGCGCCGAUUGAAAAUCACCAGCGAGUCCUACUUCAACUGCGAUGCAUUAUGGCGUGCCCAAAGUGAAGUCUGACCGCACUCUCCUUAAGGCAAGGGAUUUGGGUUUUGGCUAUCCGGAGACUUUGAAAGAUCAGUGGUAACAUACUUUUAGCCGUGAAGGGUGAAAUGCUCAAAUGUUUUUGUGCCAAUGAAAGAUCCAGCUUCCAUCUAUGCCGUGAAGGGUGAAAUGCUCAAAUCUUUAUUUUGUUUUCGUGGUACCCCUUUUGUGCCAAUGAAAGAUCUUCCUGACAGAGAGGGCUUAAGGAUCUUCCUGUCAGAGGAGUACAUUAUUUUGUUUGACAGGAGUAUUUCAAGAUCAAUACAUUAUUUUGUUUGACAGGAGGGCUUAAGGACCUAUCAUGGUGAUUUCAUAUUAAAAUUGAGGAGUACUCCUGUUCAUUUGGAGAACUCAAACAGCAAUUGAUAUGCAUCAAAAUUGGGAUCAACAGUAGCAUGGGGCCUUAUCAUUCUGGUUUUUGGAUGACUUAGUUAAUCAAAUUCCUCAAUUGAGGAACACCUGGACUUGUCAUUCCGGUCUUGGGAUAUGGACUUAUCAUUCUGGUUUUUGGAUGAUUUAGUUAAUCAAAUUGACAUCAAUUGACCUGUUUUUUGGAUCACUUGCAGAUUCUCUUGAUUGGAGUGGAGAGGAGCAGAGACGAGAGGAGCAGCAGAAGUGGACAGCGCAGCGGCUGACCUUGAGCUCUUGAUUGCAGUGGGGGGAGGCGGCCGGCGAAGGAUCUGUGGCCAGCAGCGAAGGAUCCAAAGCUGUGGCGGAGCAGGCAGCCGGCGGGAAGGGCGGCUGGCGAGGGAGCUGCGGACCGCGGCGGGGAAGGGCGACCGAUGAGGGAGCUGCGGACCACGGCGGGGGGAGCUGCGGACCGCGGCGGGGAAGGGCGACCGAUGAGGGAGCUGCGGACCACGGCGGGGAAGGGCGGCCGGCCGGCAAGGCAGCUGCGGACCGCGGCGGGGAAGGGCGGCCGGCCGGCAAGGCAGCUGCGGACCGCGGCAGGGAAGGAGCCCAGCGGAGGAGCGACGGCGGAGAAGCCUGGCGGAGGGGAGGAGCGACGGAGGAAGACGCCUCCCGGUCAAUUUCAAAUCAGGGGUAGUAUUGUACUUUCACACUGUAGUACUAAAACAAUGGUGUCAAGCUAUUGGGCCACACCAUUAGCCUUAUUGUAACAAUAUUUAAACAGCACCUUCCUGAUCAUAGUAGAUUGCUUCUGCUAAAACUUUCGGUGUUCAGUUGGAUGUUUGCAACUAAGAAUCUUACUCCCAUGGCUGUCUGGUCACACAAAAUUGUACCACUGCUAACAUGCAAAUUUGUAUGUAGUCCACAUUAAAAUAUGCAAAGCAUUUUAUUGUUAA